AUACGUAGGGAGCGAGCGUUGUCCGGAUUUACUGGGUGUAAAGGGUGCGUAGGCGGCUUUUUAAGUCAGGUGUGAAAACCGUGGGCUUAACUCACGGAUUGCAUUUGAAACUGAGGGGCUUGAGUGGAGCAGAGGCAGGCGGAAUUCCCGGUGUAGCGGUGAAAUGCGUAGAGAUCGGGAGGAACACCAGUGGCGAAGGCGGCCUGCUGGGCUUUAACUGACGCUGAGGCACGAAAGCAUGGGUAGCAAACAGGAUUAGAUACCCUGGUAGUCCAUGCCGUAAACGAUGAUUACUAGGUGUGGGUGGUCUGACCCCAUCCGUGCCGGAGUUAACACAAUAAGUAAUCCACCUGGGGAGUACGACCGCAAGGUUGAA
rnacentral:rRNA from 1 species